rnacentral:rRNA from 1 species
AUGGACCUGAACAGCUUCCCACUUGACCACGAGUUUCCGGAUGACUACGGGCAAGAGGAAGAAGACGACUGCAACAGCCUUUGUUUGAGGACGAGCUCGCCAACCAAGCCACCUGGCCAAAGCCGAAGCGCAAGAGCAAGCGCACGAAGGAAUACACGGCUGCCGAGGACAAGCUUCUUUGCGAGUGUUGGAGGGACAUUGGACAAGACCCCAAGACCGGCGCCAAACAAAAGCAUUCAACUUUUUGGAUUUGUGUCCACCGGGAGUUUCAUGAGCGCAAGAAGUUUCCUCCUUAUCAAAUUGUGA